AUUUAUUGCUGUUAUUGCAGUAAUUUUAGGCGACGUUUUACUAAAAAUAAUUUGUAUCUGCCUCCAUCUAGCGGCCACACUGCGUACUGCGCUGACGACCUGGCUACGUCACACAAUAACACGGAAGUAGCUCACAAACAAAUCCAAUUGGAAUAUAGUCGACUGUUUCUUUUAUUUGUCGUCUCAUGUUCCAUCUUUGUGUUUCACGAACAGACUAAAUGGGGACCUACUCUCUCCUGAAGUCCACCGGGGAAAACUCCUUCGGCCGCGCCGUGUUGGUCCGAUGCAGUCCAGCUUUUAAAGAAUCAUCCCAAAUUGGAGAAUUCAAGGAGGGAAGCCAUCCUGCUGUCCACAAUGAAACAUCUUCACACUGUGGCCUUCGGGGAGACAUUUGCAGUUCCAGGCACCGAGCUGGAGGAGCCUGAUUCUGAAAGUGUGUCGGGGCGCGUCCCCUAAACUCCCCUCCCCGGCCGCCUGCCCUGUGAACUUCCAUCAUUCAAACAGAUGUUUCAGACCACCCCUGACCUCUCACCGGGUUUCCCCGACUCCUGCAGGCAGAUCUGCCCUGCAGAUAAAAACAGCGAUCUUACGGCUGCCCACUCGUCAGAACGACCUGCUGUGGUGACACAACAAUAAAGCAGAGGGGCAAGAGAUGAUGGAAGAGGGAGAGAAGAGCUCAAUAAAACAGCGACCUUUGUAUGGAGAGAGCAAUUUUAUCAAGAAAAGUUGUGAAACGUAAUUCUGGGAGCAACAAAAUGUGGAAAUGUGUCUUCAUCAUGCAGAAUUUGAAAGCUGCACUCAAAGUGGCCUCAGUUCCAAGAACAAGCCUCUCCUGAUAUCAACACUGGACGACUAAAGAAAUAUCUGGAAGAUCACACUACAUUUGUUUGGAACAAACAUUUGUAGGAUGAACAGAAGAGAUCAUCGCCUGGACAAACAGAGACAAGUAAUCAUAUCUGUGGGCAAUUUAGAGCCACCAGUUAAUGCAUUUUUUGAUAUAUCUGUCUGCUAUUCUAUAUGAAUCUUGUCACUGCAACAAGUUCAGCUAAAGUUCAGAAAAAGAAUGAUGACAUGCUGUCCUGUGGGACUGACAAACUGAUAAAUAAAAGUCUUGCUACAGAGCUUGAGUUCACUGAAUUAAAAAAAAAACAUCUAAUUUUAACAAAACAUUGAAAUGUAAUGCAGCAGGAAACACUGCACAUACUUUUCAGGUGACGGUCACAACUGAAAGUUUUUUUUUUUUUCUUCUUCUAACUGGAGCUUUUACUUCUUGCCUGUGACACUUUGCGGUGUUUUGGGGCCUGAAAACAUCUUGGAUUCAUGAGUAGGAUAUGAGACACCCAGACUCCUGAGGUGAUCAGGAUGAGUCUGUAGAAACAUGGCGAAGCAGUUUUCAGUUCCAGUUUGACAUCUUUGGAUUCAGACUUACCGAAUUGGUCAGGCGCUCACACAAAGGCUCCUUCAUCAAAAUGCAUCAUGUUUGUUUUUUUUCCUUUCAGAAUGCAACAGCAUGAACUCUGAAAACGACGCAGUCAUGUAGAGGAACUCCUGAGUGUCCUUUGUUUUUGUAAUAAACUCACACACAUACAGAGAAUAAGCUGUAAACAGCGAGUAGGAAUCCUUAAACGCGACUCACUACUG